AGAAGAAGAAGAAGAGCCUCGAAGAAGAAAGAGUUUCUCUAGGGUUUCAUUCGUAUCCCUUCUUUACCCACACCUUUCACUUCUUCACGAUCUUCAUCUCCUCCUUUCUUCCGCCUCUCUCUUGUCUCGUUCAAUGUGUUCAAUAUAUAGAUUCGAAUCACGGCAAUUUGGUGAGUGAAUCUAAUUUUUUUGAAUGCGAUGUGUAGAUUUACAUCUUCGUUUCGACACGUCCACUGAAAUUGAAUAUAGGUAUUUUGGAGAUUUGGAAAACCCUUUUUUAACAGUGUGUAUGUAUAUAUGUAAAUGGGAGGAAAGUUCUGUGUACAUAUGGUCGUUUGACAUCAAUGAUGGAUUUGACAUAAAGGCCUGAAGAAAAAUUGUGCAUAAACUGGAGUUUGAGAAUGAAAAUAUAAGACUAUCUUUUCACGAUGGAGAAUCUGCAACCCCGAACCAAGUAAGUGAACUAUAGAAUUAUAUGUGGAGUGGAAGAGAUUCUGAUUUUCCUAAUGUGGCUUCUGAUGUUAAAACUGUAGUAUCAUAUCCACUUUGUAAAAGAGUCAGUCCUUGAAUCAAAGUUCUUACAUAUCCAUAUGAGUACACUUGGGUUCAUUGGAAUUGCUUUCUUUGAUUUGCUUUUGCUUGUCAAUUGUUUGUGGUUAGGGGCUUGGUGAAGGCGUUAACGACUGUGGAUACGUAUCAGUUUCCACAUCUUAUUUUGAAAGGAAAACAAAUUCAAACCUUUAAAGACAAAAAGGAAAGUGUGAGUCUAAUCGAUAGGGAUGUAGGAUUCUGGAUUGGGUUUCCCAAGGAGGGGCCUUGGGAGAGUUUCCUGUCUGCUACCGUUUUCAAUUAUUCCAAGGUCAUUAUAACAAAAUUUAGUUGAUGAAGAAUGGCACAAAAAAUGCGAUUUUAAGGGUUCAUGCUACAGAUUCUGAUGUUAAACUUGAUUUUUCUGUAUGCCCUGUUUCUUCGCGAAUCUCACUCCUUCAACUUCUGAAGGAAGCCAUCAGAAUACUGUGGUAGAAGAGGUCUAUGAGAACCAGUGACACUUUCUGGUUGGAGAAACAAGUGGUCUGGUUUUCGUGGUAAUGAUCCAGAGAGGUGGAGGGGGUCUUGCUACAGUUGUCAGUGAUUCUGAUGUUAAAUUUGAUCUUUCUGUAUGCCCUGUUUCCUUGCGAAACUUACUCCUUCAACUUCUGAAGGAGGCCAACAGAAUGCUGUGGUAGAAGAGGUCUAUGAGAGCCAGCCACACCAAGCAAUUUCUGGUUGGAGAAACAAGUGGUCUGGUUUUCGUGGUAAUGAUCCAAAGAGGUGGAGUACUAGGGACUUCUCGUAUUCAUCAUAGGAUUGUUUUGAGCCUCCUCUAGCUUCUGGGUGUCGAUGGACCACGACCUGGACAAUCUCAGUUUGGGGACAUGGAUGGUUGGGCAUAUGCUCCUGAUUAUGAGCUUUACUAAAAUGGUCACUAAAUUCUUUAAUGUCACCCGCCAAAUCAUCCCUCCAGGUUGUUCGCCGAAGGCGUUGGUCCACACAAGGAAGCCUUUAUCCUCUAGAAACUUUAGUAGCAUGAAUGAUGUAGUCAGUAUCUUGAGUCUUAUCUUACCUUGGAGAAGCACAACUAGAGACUCUGAUCCAUGUUUUCAAAUUCGUCCUCGUGCUGAGAAUCCUGAACCUUCGUAGACAUGGGCUGUGGGUUAUGGUGAUGCCCGUGAUAAUGAUCAAUCGUUCUUUGAGCAAGGAUCACUUUCAAGACAAAAUACCAUGCAACGUGGGAAUGCAUCAUCUUCUUUUGCUCUUAAGUUGAAUCAGCUUGAUAAGAAUGCAUUGUGAUCGUGAUCCACGUUCUGGCGGUAAAACAGAGCUUUUGGCUCAGCAUUGGAACAGAUGCUGAACUACACACAAUUUUCCAUAUUUAUUGGAAAAUAGAUUUCCUUGUCCAGCAGAGUUUACAGUGUGAGAGAGAAUGGAGAUUGUAUCUGAGAGGCAACAUGGUAUCAUCUCAUCACAAAUGAGCGUACGUAUCUAUUCAGCAGAUAUGAUAUUUAUCUUAACCGAUGUGUUCAAGGGGGAUGGGUUUUGGAAAAGGACGAUCUUUCUUCUCUUGGCCAUGUACCAUUGUUUUGGAUGGUUCACAAACAAAGUAAAAAAGGUCCGAGCCAACAUGAAUAAUCUUGACGAAUCGAUGAGGGAAUUGCUUCUACUUACACGGGAUUAUGCCGCUCUCUUGCCUCAUGAGCGAGCCCCGUUACACGCCCAUAUACCACCCUUGAAUCAAAGUCUCGGCUUGGAUAUUACUGGAAAUGAGACACAAGUUCUAGAAGAGCUUGGCAGGCAAUUGAAUUUGAUAUCAGCAUACAUUUCUCUUUUGAGUUGGAAUGCAUGCGGCCUACGCAAAUUAGAAAAAGUUUCCCAAGUGAUAAAGAUGGACAAGAAAGUUUCUUGUACGGUAAUACAAGAAACGACACAUUUGGAUUUGCAAAUGGAUACCCACUCUAGCGCCAGUUAUGCACGUGAGUGCCUAACGGUUCCAGCUAAGGAUUGUAAGACCAAUCAUUCAGGCGGUUAAGCGGUCAUGUAUGAUACAUGUGUUUAUGACUUCGUAGACACGGAGAAAACAAAAUUAACACAAUCAGUGACUUUACGAGUGAAAAGCAAUAAUUUUAUCUUCACAAUAACAAAUGCAUAUUGUCGCAUAAAGGAGAAAAAUGUUUUUUGGCAAGAGGCAAGAAGGAUUGCGAGAAAAUAUCAGACAGAUCUGUGGUGCAUUGUGGGCGAACUCAACGCAACCAAAGAUCCAUCCGAAAAACUUUCUGCCGCAAGAGACCCAAACAGGAGAAACUUGGUUACUUACAUAGAUGAUUUCGACUUAGAAGAUUUUCCAAUGUCUGGUGGUAUAUAUACUUGUAGUGAAAGAAGUAGACUUGAUCGUUACUAGCUCAUAAUAUGAAUUGUAUAAGUCAAAGCAUUGGAACUAUUAUAUCGAGGGAAGAAAAUAUGUCUGACCAUCAGCCUGUUCUACUCACUUUCCUCCUAUUACCUACAGACCAGAUAGAAAAUGCGAUGAGGGAUGCGUUACAUGCGUAUAACAUUGCAGUUCCUCAAGUGGAAGAAGAAGAGGAGGAUGAGAUUUAAGAGGAAGCGCCAAAAGAUGAGACAAAGAUCCAAGUAGAUUACUUUUGGUUGAAGAGGGACGUUGAAGAAUGCUGGUUCUUUCUUGACAUGUGCUUGAGGCUGAGUUUUUUAGUUGUUCUGUAGACAUUUUGCAGUUUUAGUUUCUUCAAAACAAAGAUGUUUCUUGCUUGAUUAUCUGUUUGACUUCUGUACACCUAUGGUAUAGCUCUGAACUUAGUGGGAAUGCUAUCGUAACUCUAUCUAUAUACAAUUUGGUAAAAGGUGUUUGAAUUUC